UUCUCGUAUUCCCUCUUGUUUUUCGUUUUUAACACUACAAGAAAUCGAGACUUUCUUGACGCCAAAAAGGACGUCGGCACAAAGAACGUCGGAAAUACCCUUAUUUCCGACGUCGGACAGCCGCGUCGGAGAAAACUCUAUUCCCGAUGCCACGCACAAUGCGUUGGGAGUGGUGUCGGGAAAAAGGGUAUUCUCGAUGCGUCAAGCACGCGUCGGCCAAAUGGCGUCGGGAAUAAGGCUAAAUUAAAUUUAAAAUACACCUUAUUCCCGAUGCCAUGCACAGUGCAUCGGGAACGGCGUCGGGAAUAAGGGUUUUCUCGACACACUAUUGCGCGUCGAAAAAACCUUUUAUGAGCGUCGAGAAUACCCUUAUUUCCGACGCCAUAAAGGGGAUCUCCCCACGUUUUCGUGCUGCGUCGGGAGAUCUCCUUUAUAAACGUUUCAGUUCUGUAUUAUACAGAACUGAAAACGAAAAGGAAAGGAGAAGAGAGAAACGAAGAUUCGUCGCCGUCCGUAGCUCGCCGUUGUCUGUUCCGUCGUCAUUGUCGUCCCUCGUCGCCGUCUGCCAUCUUAGGGGUCAGCCACUCUCUGAGGAUGAGAUAUGCGAUCAGGUGUUAGGUAGACGACCAGGCUACUCAAAAGGCCUUGGUUGGGGAUCCAAGUCGAAGGUCCGCAGGACGACGAGUGCGAGCAGUUCCUCGACAUCUUGUCCGCAAUCCACACAAAAAGAAAUUGAAUUACAAGCUAAAGUUAAUGAAACUUUGGAACGGAUUGAAGUGCAAGAUAGAAAUCACCAAGCGUUAGCUUCACAAGUGGAACGAAUGCAAAAGCUGAUAGAAGACUUCACUUGUGCACAACAGGGGCCACCACGUGAUUCCUAGCUUUGCGGACCGAAGGUGUAGAACGACGCGUACGGGCCUCGUUGGGAGACUUUUUGUUAUAUUUGCGUUUUUUUGUAUUAUGAGGAACUACAUUUUUUGUAUUAAACUUACUAAUAUUUUUUGAACUUAUUCGUAUUAUUAAUUUUAAAUUUUUUU